rnacentral:lncRNA from 1 species
GAUUCCAGAAGCCGAUGGAAGACUAGGCGGGCCUAGUCCGAAGCAAAAUCAACUCCACCAAAUAUGAGAAAGCGUGGAGAUGUAUCUUUAGUAGUCUUUAGAAAUAGUUAUAAUAGUUCACGUCGUACUUGAUUAAGAUUUGUAUAAAUAUAAACCCAUGAGCCUUGUAAGAAUAAUCAACAAUCAAUCAAUACAACCACCUUUUGGCGCCCCGCCGCCAAAACCCUUAUGAGUAGGAGUAGAGUAAAUUCGGUGAGUUCCUUCUAACGCGCAAGGCUGAAUUGGCUUCGAUCUCGAGCGAGCUUGUAAGUACCAUCACCCAGUCAUUACGACCUCUAUCAGGACUUUCUGAGUUAGGUGUCAUAUUCUGAUAUUCGGUUGUGUGGCUAGUUAUCGAGUUAAUCUUAGAUUGCAAGUAGAAUUUCCUAGGCUUUGGCAAAUAUUCUGCUUGUCUUCGAUGGUUCCUCAUAGUUAUCAAAUACUUUAGAUCUGGUUAGGUUGCCUUCAUUGGCUUCCUUACCUUGCUUGAACAUUCACAGUUAUCAUAUCAUAUCAGCUGGUAGAUCUUGCAUGCUUUUAAUGUUUUACUUAUGCUAGGUCUAAUAGAUGUUGACCCCUGCCGCUCGUAUCGCUAAACCGUCAGGCCUCUGACAUCAGCACGCUGUCUCUGAGAGCCAAUGCUUCGGUCGGGUCAUAUCCGCAUCUCGCGUGAGCACAAUGACGUCACUGAGCCGAUAUGGGCGCGUGCAAGGCCUUGCUGCCAUGAGCCUGUCUGUUAAGUCUAACGGGUCGAAGUUGGUGCCUCUCACUGUGUUACCUUGUCUAAGUUCAACACACGGUCAAGACAUCGAUUAGACUUUGUUACCUUAGUGGGCUUGUAAGCAGUAGGCAAGAGGUGUUUGCUAAUUGUGCUCUAGCCUUUUUAUGUUGGAAGAUCGAGGUUAAUGCUCUCUCAUUCGUGUUAUCUUGUCUAAGUUCAAUACACUUAUUAAGAUAUUAAUUAAGAUCUAUAAAUGUACCUGGUUAGCGUACAGUUAGCAUCGGCUAGUCGUUGUUGCUAUGUUCUAAUCCUUUAAGUUAGUAGAUUGAUGCCAAUACCCUCUCAUUCGUGUUACCUUAUUUGAGUUCAAUACACUUAUCAAGAUAUUGGCAAGGUCUGUUAGCUUAUCUUAUUAAGCGCAUGGCUAACGAGGGCUACCUUUUUAGCUGUUGUGUUAUGAUGCUUUAUCUUAGCCCAUUGGCUGACAUAGCCGAUGGCCUCACCAUUAAGGUUUUUAUUUAUUUACACCGCAUGCUUACAUUUAAUAUCUAUCUGUUGUGGUGACAUAGCUGAUGGGCGAGGAGAAGCAUGGUGGGGUCAACGACGUCGUGGAGGAAUGGGAGGAGGACGUCGGAGGGGGUGGGGAUGGGGUCUCACGCUCGUCGGUGUCGGCGUAGUCGCUGUAGUCAACCAGGGGUGGGUAGAUCUAACGGGAGGAGAUAGGAGAGGUAGAGGAAGGCAGCAGCGGGUGGAUCUGCGGGGAGAGAGCGAGGAGGGGAAAAGAGUGGAGGGUAGGGUUUCAUGGACAGAUGGUGUAUUUAUUCGGAGGCCGGUUCAUCUCGGCCAUCCAACUUUGAUCUAAUGGCCAAAAAGAGGUGUGUAUUCAUGGGCCGAAUCAUUUAAACGGCCGAACUCAGACUUGUCUAAACAUACUUCACUAUUUAAUGUUUUUCAUUUUCUUUUUGCCAUUUUAAAGCAUCCUUCUAAAGUAACUUGCAAAUAAAUUAUCUUACAUACACUCAUAUAUUUUUAAAUAUAGUAGAUAACAUUUAAGUUUUCAUGUAGGAGUUUAAAGAAUUUUUGAAUAGAUUUAGUGUCUUCUAUCAUUAAAAUGAAUUUCUACAUGCUUAUCAAAAGUAAUUCCAAGUUAAACUAUGUGUACCACCAAUAAGAUUUGAAAAUUUGGACAAAAAAUUUAUUUAGGCUCCUAUGUUCCAUUAUAACCCAUGUCUUGAAGAUAGAUGAACAAUUAAAUUACCUUUUAGGGACAAUUUAGACUUCUAUCUCCAAA